rnacentral:pre_miRNA from 1 species
UAUUAAAAUUUUUAUGUAUUUUACUGUUAAAAACUAGUGUAGUUGACGAAAUAAUUAGAUAGCACGUGUACCUUAUGAUGAUGUUCAAAGAUCAUUUUUUAAUAGUAAAAUGGAUAAAAUUUUUAACA